GACGCACGCUGGCGGCGUGCCUAAUACAUGCAAGUCGAACGCAGUGGGGACGGGUGAGUAACACGUGGGUAACCUCCCCAUCAGAGGGGUUUACACUUGGAAACAGGUGCUAAACCGAUACUGAUGGAUGGACCCGCGGUGCAUUAGCUAGUUGGUGAGGUAACGGCUCACCAAGGCCACGAUGCAUAGCGGACCUGAGAGGGGGAUCGGCGACACGGGGACUGAGGAGCGGCCCAGAGUCCUACGGGAGGCAGCAGUAGGGAACCGUCGGCAAUGGACGAAAGUCUGACCGAGCAACGCCGCGUUGGUGAAGAAGGUUUGCGGAUCGUAAAACACUGUUGGUAGAGAAGCGUUAUCUAACCAGAAAGCCAAGGCGAACUACGUGCCAGCAGCCGCGGUAAUAC
rnacentral:rRNA from 1 species